AGCCAGCUUCGGCCCCUCCGCCCCCGGUCCCGAUUCUGUGCCCUGGCUGAGCGCCUGGCCCAUACAGCGGGCGGCAGAGGACGUCGCAUUCCUGGCGGGGAUCGGGGCGGGUCUUCGGCUCAGCUCUGCGGACCGCUGGGGUUCUCCUCGACGCCAGGGAGGGGCGCGCGGCGCGGGGACCCGCGCUCCGGCGCUUCCCCGAGCAGCUCCCGGGCGAGAGCGCGCGUCGCCGGCUGUCUGUGCGGUGCGCGUCCCUCCCAACCCCCACCGCGCACGGAGUGUUUGUCGCCAUCCCUGUGCCCCACCCGCCCGUGUCCUGGCACCCAGGUGUGGAACGUGCGCUCGUGUGUCCUCUGGGGGUCGCGUGCCCACAGGGGUGGACGUGUCUGGCUGGCGUGGGCGCGUGUGUGGCCCGGUGUCUGCGUGGCCCAUCAGGGGAGACGGGACGCGGUGCCCAGGGAGGGCUUCUCGCGGGCAGCCUCCUCGGGCGGCUACCCAGCCUCCUUCCUGCGCGCCCGCUCAGUCCCUGGCCGGCACUGCCCGGCACUGCGGGACUUCGCUCACUCCUCCCAGGGGGAAGACCCAGCCGGAAAGUGCCCUUCCCCUGACAGGGUCCUGUAGCCCUUGGGGAUGACGCAGGAAAGCCCCUCACCUUGUCCUGCUGGAAGUUGGGCUGCACGGAGACCUGGGCCUCCGGUGCUGCCUGCAGGUCGCCCAGCACCCCCAGCAGGGCCAGUCCCAUCCACAGUGUGUGAUGAGUAGCCAUUCUCCUGCAGCAGAGCGGGUGUCCGGGGCCUGGUGCCAGUGGUGUGGGAGAGCGAGGGAGGUGUGCAGGAGGAGCGGAGGGCACUGAGGAGACCCCUAUUUAUGGGCCAGGCUUGGCCUCCACCCAGGGCCCGGGGACAGCCCACUGAACACUCGUGAUGCUGGGGGAUGGGGUGGCCAGGCACAGCUGCAGCCUCGUCCCCCACAGGGCGCUUAUGCAAGAGGCCUGGGCCUGCUGCCCCAGCUGAGGCAGCGUGGGGGUGAGGCAGAGGCCCCUGCCCACUGGUCCCAGAGACAGAGCUGGCAGGGACCUUGCCCACCCUCCUCCUGCUGGCAGGGCCCACCAACCCAGCGGCCCUGAUAGGGCAGGGGCUGUGUUCCUCAGCCAUGCCCGCCUCCGAGGCCUCUGGUGACUUCCCACUGGGGGCCAGGACCCACAUCUCACAGCCCCUACCAUCAUUCCCUUUCCGAGCCCUGCCACCCCAGAAGGGGACACAAGCCCCACUUCCACCCUGAGAGUUUGGUCCUGAAACGCCCAGCAAGUGAAGUGUUGAUGAGAAGCUCAGGCCAAGGUAGAGAAACUUGAUCUGGCCCGCAGGGUCCCGAGGGCCAGGUUUGCUGGGCAUGGCUUCCCCCAUGGCCAGCUGUUGGGGCUCUGAUAGUGACCCCUGGGUGCCCAUUUCAGCCUGGGGCACCUUUGGGCUUGAGCACAGGCCCUAUCCCUUGCCAGAGGCCCCAACUUCCCCCAGCAAUCCCCCCACCCCAAGUCUGCCCCCCGCCGAGUCUGGGCCUCCCCACCCCGAGUCUGGUCCAGACUCGGGAGCACCCCGUGGGGCUGUCCUGUUACCCCAGCGCUGCACCCAGCUCCUUGGGCCCCUCCAGCUCGUUGGCCCUGGCUGGGGCCCUGUCACAGGCCGUCACAGGCAGGCACAUGUGGUGGGCCCUCUCUGGAUUCUGUUGGGACUGAGCUUCCCUGGCAGGCGUGGUGGGUGAGCGCUGCCGCUGGUCUGAAGGUGAGCCCGGGUGGGGAGCAGUCGUUACCGAGACCAUAUGGUCGUUGGCGCCUGGAGAGCUGGAAGAGCUAACAGGAUCAUGCUUCGGUUCAGGACGGACUCCUCAGUCCCACAUCCAGGAAGGGCUGGGCAGUUGCCAGCUCCUGGCACGCCAGAUUUCUCCCCUCCUCCCCCGGCUAGGACUGUGCAAGGUGGACAGGGGCAGGAGGGACCUUCGCAGAGCCUCUUGCAGCUUGGGCAGGGACAAGGACCACCCUGCACACUCUCUGUGCCCUUCCCUUUGCUCUGAGCUUGGCUGCCAGGCAGGACCUUAGUGGAGCCUGGCGGAGGGCUGGGCAGGAAGAAGGCUGGC
rnacentral:lncRNA from 1 species